rnacentral:tRNA from 1 species
GUUCGCGGUGGCGAAGGUGUCGUCCCGCUCGUCCCGGCCGAACGUGAUCAGCGGCUGCACGUUCGAGGUCGCGUCCGCCGGCG